GACGAACGCUGGCGGCGUGCUUAACACAUGCAAGUCGAACGGAAAGGCCCUGCUUUUGUGGGGUGCUCGAGUUGCGAACGGGUGAGUAACACGUGAGUACCCUGUCCUUGCCUUUGGGAUAACUUCAUGCAACUGGGGCUAAUACCGGAUAGGAGCUCUUGCUGCAUGGUGGGGGUUGGAUAGUUUCGGCGGUUGGGGAUGGACUCGCGGCUUAUCAGCUUGUUGGUGGGGUAGUGGCAUACCAAGGCUUUGACGGGUAGCCGGCCUGAGAGGGUGACCGGCCACAUUGGGACUGGGAUACGGACCAGACUCCUACGGGAGGGAGCGGUGGGGAAUGUUAAACAAUAGGCGGAAGCCUAAUGCAGCAACGCCGCGUGCGGGAUGACGGCCUUCGGGUUGUAAACCGCUUUCGCCUGUGACGGGGAGUGAGUGACGGUAAUAGGUAAAGAAGCACCGGCUAACUACGUG
rnacentral:rRNA from 1 species